GUAGGCAUGGUGAGAGAUGACAAUGACAAUGGUGAUGAUGAUGAUGACAUUUAUUAGCCAUAAGAGGAGAAAAGCCAAGUCAAAAUCCUAUUUAAGAUAUUUAAGGUAAGUUUUGCCUGUACUCUUUGUGCAGGCCGUGUGAGACAAAUGAACAUUCAGAUUCUGAACACUGAUCUGUUACUGUUUGUAGAUAGAGUUCACUGUUCUGUGCUCAAUUUAAUAUUUGUAAUUGAGCAUGCAUUGCUUAGGGGCCAUAAUCCCUGUAUCUAACUCUCUAAGUCCUAUCCUUUGUAUACACAGAGAAUAAAACAUAGUCUAGCCAGGUGCAGUAUGGGAAAGGCCAGUAGAAGUCACAGAGGUAUGCUUGGCUGUGAGGGUUUAUAGGAUAAAAGGGGGAAGAAAGUCCUAACUGAAUACUCACAGUUAAGAAGACCUCUAAAAAAAAUGGAGGUCAGAUUAAUGCCUAAAGGAAAGAAUAAUUUUUUUUUACACUAUCUCCAAUUCUUCUGACUCCCGCCCCCUAUACCAGGGUGUCCCUUUUAGAGAAUAAAACAGGUAGCAGGAUCAUAACGCUAGAAUACAGAGAGAAUUAAAAAACAGAAGAGGGGGAGGAGUGAAAGCCACUGACUAAUUAAUCCUCCAUUUUUCACAUCAGGGAAAACCUUGGCAUCCAGUGAUGAUGAAUCAAUGCUGCUGACAGAUGCAUCGUGUUGGGAUCCCAAUCAUCUAAUUCUUCCAUCAACAGAAAUGACAGGUGCCUAUGUUAAAAAGGGAAGCUGUGAGCAUAAACCUUCAAAGACCUACAGGUAAAAUGUACCCUGCAUUGAAAAUGUUUCUCUAAAUAAACAUUUUAUAAUAUUAAAAUUUUAUAUUAGAGUUUUUGCCUAUUUGGAUGACAAAUUUUGUCUAUUUCCC
rnacentral:lncRNA from 10 species